CGACAACGACGGCGACGAACUUUGUCCCCUCCUCGCGUGUCUCCUAGCAACCCCUCCAUUUCUUUUCUUAUUAUUAAAGCUGGAAGGAAACGCGGCCUCUUACGGUGUCCACGUCGUCGUUUAAAACACCAGUCGUUCGAUGGUGCAUCCACGGGGGCAAGCGCAUCGCAGUCGUAGCCACCUGGAGCCUUCUAGACCAGUACACGUAUGAAGGGCUUCCCGGAGGACCGCUUCCUGUCGUUCCUGCAAAAAAAUGGGGGCGACGUCCUCGACAACGACGGCGAUGAACUUUGUCCCCUCCUCGCGUGUCUCCUAGCAACCCCUCCACAUGUGCGGUCCCUCUGCUCCGCGUCAUUUCUUUGGGCCCGAGUCUUAUAGUACUGCUCGCUAGGGUUUCCUUCUUUUAGCAGUUGCUUGCGCAACCUCGCCGUUGUUGGCAGAAGUCCUUUGUAGCCAAGAUGCUUCUCCGUUCUCCUCUAAUCUCUCCCUCUGCGUCUCAUUCCAGUGGGACACGACACGAUUUAUUGCCCAGACUGUUCGUAUUCGUGAUUUAUUUACCUAUUUUUGAUUUUCUGUUUUGCUCCCGUUACAUACGGUGUCAGUUCGCAAUUGUCGAUUUGUGGUUAGAAGGGUGAUCAAAUUUCGAGAUCCUACACCUUUCUUGCUUUUCCUCAUUUGGUUUCUUCAACUGCUGACGUCCAGGCCGCUAAGGCCAUGGCAAGUGGAGGCAAACGCCCUAUUCAAGCAGCUUUGUUUUUGUGUCAAUAGCAAUUGGUUACAUCGAACUCUGAUUGCAACUCCUCACUCUCUGAAUGUUAAAAUGGAACACACACACUUUAGAAGUAAUGGAGUCCAGUAUUUUUGGUACUGUGAAAACUGAAGAACAUUUUUUCUUUGUAUUAAAUAAACACUUAAAACCAACAGAGACGACUCAUUUGCAUGGCUAACAUCCCAGGGACGAGUUCACCACCACAACAUUUACACUCUAUGUUGUCUAACUGAAUUGCCCCAUACAUGUAGGCUAAUGCUUAUCUUCCAACAUCCAAUGCUAUUUCUUUAGUUUUGAUACAGAUAAACAACUCAGUUGCUUAUAUGUUUACAUCCACAACUAUUCCAAAUAGCUAUUUCUUCAUACCUAAAUACGCAAGAUAACAAGCUAUAUCUAUUUGACCAAACAACUAUUUCUUGAUAUCCUUGUCACAAAAUCAAACGACUAACUAUGACACCUGCAAUCUGCUCUUCGUCUACUAAAAAAUGUGCACAGGAAGCAACUCGACUGCUGCUAAGAAUUGCCUAAAUGAAUUUGCUGAAUACUUGUUAGUGUUUACAUCAACAACUCUUUGAAAUAUCUAUUUCUUGAUACCUACAUACGCAACAUAACCAGUUAUAUCUAUUUGACCAAACAACUACUUCUUGAUACACUUAAAGCAAAUUCAAUCGUUUGUGCCUUUUAAAUCAAUCAUAAAUGUCUUCCUUUUAAAUUAUGACACACGCAACCUGCUCUUCAUCUACUAAAAAAGAAGUGCACCCGAAGCAACUCUACUGCUGCUAAAGAUUGCCUAAAUGAUAUUGCUGACUACUUAUAGUACAACAACUACUAAUGCACCAAACAAUAUGUUUUGAUGCUAAUUUUUAACAGGAAACAACACUACAGAAUCUGAAUUCAAUGACAUAUCCAUAACUGACUUUUAUUUUUAAAAUUGCUGAUGUUGCAGGUUCCUUUGAUGCUUCGAACGCUCACAAAUCUCUUCUGACGACCUGCAUCUUCUAUCAUACCAGGUAUGUAUUACCAACUUAACAAAAUGUACUCGACUUUAUGCUGUUUUCAGUGAAUUCCAUGUAAAAAAAGAAUCAAACGAAAACAAUGUUCAUGUUUCGUUACAGAACGUGUGUAUAUCCAUGCAUGCUACCACGUACACAUUUGUAUACAAAUGUAUCCAUGCACAAAAGCACAUAAUUUUAAAUACACAUACUACGCAUACUUAAUUACACACGACAUAUAUAGUAACCUACAAUCAAAGAACAUUUUGCACACAUGAAUGUGUCGUGCUAUAUACAAAUUACCGUCUACAUAAAAAACACGCAUGGAAUUCUUUAGAUUAUUUAUUCAAAAGAAAAAAACUCUACUAUAUUUUACUAUUUACUACUGAGUGAUACCCUACUACUACAAAACUAAUGCAUUGACAUAUAUCCAUACAUAUUACCGUGUUAAUUGUGCACACAUAGAUGGCUGAUCUCUUUCGUGUGCCCAUACAUACAUACACCUUAUACAUAUAAACAUAUGUAUGUAUGCAAACAAAUAUAAAUGUAUACACACACAGAACACACACACACAUGUAUACAUAUAUAUGUACAUACCCUAUUAUAUUUUACAAUGUGAUUAAUUAGCCACCCCAAAAAUGCCACCGUAAAAAAAUGCCCAAUUUGAAACCCUGCAUCAAAUAAUAUAGUUUGCACUACAUGAAAUCUUUUUAAAUUAAUGUUCUAUGAUUCUUAUUUAGAUAUUCCUUAUUUAUAUCAAUUCCAGAAGCAUAUGGAAGAGACUCUUCACUACCACAAAUACAAGAAAAUGUGGAUAUUAUCUAUCCAACCACUCUAAUGAGAUCGACAGUUACAACACACAAUUCUCCAUCCACAACGAUGUCAAACCUCUCAACUAAGUCUCCACAUCAUGUAAUAUAUAUUGUAGAAAAAAUAUCCCUUCCAGUCUUCUUUCUAUUGGUUUCCCCACCUUUUCACUUUCUUUUCUCUACACGCAGGCCAAACAGAUGCUAACAUAUCUUAGCUCAGAGAACUCUGCUUCAAAAAAGAUGGCUUCUCAAAACAAACACCUCCACAA
rnacentral:lncRNA from 1 species